AUUGAACGCUGGCGGCAUGCCUUACACAUGCAAGUCAAACGGCAGCACGGGAGCAAUCCUGGUGGCGAGUGGCGAACGGGUGAGUAAUAUAUCGGAACGUGCCCAGUCGUGGGGGAUAACGUAGCGAAAGCUACGCUAAUACCGCAUACGAUCUAUGGAUGAAAGCGGGGGAUCGCAAGACCUCGCGCGAUUGGAGCGGCCGAUAUCAGAUUAGGUAGUUGGUGAGGUAAAGGCUCACCAAGCCGACGAUCUGUAGCUGGUCUGAGAGGACGACCAGCCACACUGGGACUGAGACACGGCCCAGACUCCUACGGGAGGCAGCAGUGGGGAAUUUUUGGGACAAUGGGCGCAAGCCUGAUCCAGCAAUGCGCGUGCAGGAUGAAGGCC
rnacentral:rRNA from 1 species